UAGGGAAUCUUCGGCAAUGGACGAAAGUCUGACCGAGCAACGCCGCGUGGGUGAAGAAGGUUUUCGGAUCGUAAACUCUGUUGUUAGAGAAGAACAAGGACGUUAGUAACUGAACGUCCCCUGACGGUAUCUAACCAGAAAGCCACGGCUAACUACGUGCCAGCAGCCGCGGUAAUACGUAGGUGGCAAGCGUUGUCCGGAUUUAUUGGGCGUAAAGCGAGCGCAGGCGGUUUCUUAAGUCUGAUGUGAAAGCCCCCGGCUCAACCGGGGAGGGUCAUUGGAAACUGGGAGACUUGAGUGCAGAAGAGGAGAGUGGAAUUCCAUGUGUAGCGGUGAAAUGCGUAGAUAUAUGGAGGAACACCAGUGGCGAAGGCGGCUCUCUGGUCUGUAACUGACGCUGAGGCUCGAAAGCGUGGGGAGCAAACAGG
rnacentral:rRNA from 1 species